UACGGAGGGUGCAAGCGUUAUCCGGAUUCACUGGGUUUAAAGGGUGCGUAGGUGGCUUUGCAAGUCAGUGGUGAAAGCCCGGAGCUCAACUCCGGAACUGCCAUUGAUACUGCUUAGCUUGAAUCAAGUAGAGGUGGAUGGAAUAUUACAUGUAGCGGUGAAAUGCUUAGAUAUGUAAUAGAACACCGAUUGCGAAGGCAGUUCACUAUGCUUGUAUUGACACUGAGGCACGAAAGCGUGGGGAUCAAACAGG
rnacentral:rRNA from 1 species